rnacentral:lncRNA from 1 species
AGAAACAUAUUUAAAAGGAAAAGAAGUUUCAUGAAAGAUAACAUCCCUGGACACAAAGCACUUUUUGGAACUGAGAUCAUACAGUCUAUAACCCUUUGUAGCAAAAGGAUACCCCAGGAAGAAACAUGAAAUGACCCUAGGUUUCAACUUGUCCCUUUGAGGAAUUGGGACAGCAGCAUAGGCAAGGCAGCCAAAUGCCCAUAAAACACAUGAAAUGUCCCUAGGUUUCAACUUGUCCCUUUGAGGAAUUGGGACAGCAGCAUAGGCAAGGCAGCCAAAUGCCCUUAAAUGGGAAUAAGUAGGUGCCUUUCCAUGCAAAAUUUCAUAAGGGGAUUUGCCUUGAAGGAGCCUGGAGGGUAUUCUGUUAAUAAGGUAUGUAGCAGUCAAUAGGCGAUCUCCCCAGAAAGAGAUGGGUAAACAAGAUUGGAAGAGUAAAGCUCUACAAGUUUCAAGAAGAGUCCUAUGUUUCCUUUCAACAACACUAUUCUGUUGAGGAGUAUGUGGGCUAGUGGUUUGAUGAAUAAUGCCUUGUUGACUAAAAAAGGAUGCACCGGCAAUACUAGACCCCAGUUCCAAAGCAUUGUCACCCCUAAUAGUCUGAACAACAGCAUUAAACUGGGUUUUAACCAUACACAGAAAAGACUUAAGCAUGCAGAAAGCAUUGAUUUUAGACCCCAAUAAAUGUGUCCAGGUUGCUCUAGAGAAGUCAUCAACUAUUGUUAGAAAAUAUCUAGAUCCAAAAGAGGUGGGAGUGUGAUAAGGGCCCCAAGUAUCUACAUGAAUCAAUUGGAAAGGUCUAGAUGUACACUUUUAGACCCCAAUAAAUGUGUCUAGGUUGCUCUAGAAAAGUCAUCAACUAUUGUUAGAAAGUAUCUAGAGCCAGAAGAGGUGAGAGUGUGAUAAGGGCCCCAAGUAUCUACAUGAAUCAAUUGGAAAGGUCU